rnacentral:rRNA from 1 species
UACGAAGGGGGCUAGCGUUGUUCGGAAUUACUGGGCGUAAAGCGCGUGUAGGCGGUUGUCCAAGUCGGGUGUGAAAGCCUUGAGCUCAACUCAAGAAAUGCACUCGAUACUGGGCGACUCGAGUGCCGGAGAGGAUAGUGGAAUUCCCAGUGUAGUGGUGAAAUACGUAGAGAUUGGGAAGAACACCAGUGGCGAAGGCGGCGAUCUGGGAAGAUACUGACGCUGAGGUGCGAAAGCGUGGGGAGCAAACAGG